GCAUUGGUGGUUCAGUGGUAGAAUUCUCGCCUGCCACGCGGGGGCAAAGGCCCGGGUUCGAUUCCCGGCCAAUGCA